rnacentral:rRNA from 1 species
UACGUGGAGGGCAAGCGUUGUCCGGAAUUACUGGGCGUAAAGGGCGCGUAGGCGGUCUUGCAAGUCCCGUGUGAAAUCCCUCGGCUCAACUGAGGAACUGCACGGGAAACUGCUUGGCUUGAGUUCGGGAGAGGGAAGCGGAAUUCCGGGUGUAGCGGUGAAAUGCGUAGAUAUCCGGAGGAACACCGGUGGCGAAGGCGGCUUCCUGGACCGACACUGACGCUGAGGCGCGAAAGCUAGGGGAGCGAACAGG